GACGAACGCUGGCGGCGUGCUUAACACAUGCAAGUCGAACGGCAAGGCCGUACUUUCGUGCUGUGAUGGAGUGGGGAACGGGUGAGGAACACGUGUGUAACCUGCCCUAGACUUUGGGAUAACUUAAGGAAACUAGGGUUAAUAUCGGACCGCAGCCCCCGUAGGAUGGAGGGGGUUGGAUCGUCGAGGCGGUCGGGGCUGGAUGAGCGGCUUAUCAGUUAGUUGGUGGGGUAGUGGCAUACCAAGGCAUUGACGGGUAGCCGGCCUGGGAGGGUGACCGGCGUCAAUACGACUGAGAGAGGGCGCAGACGCCAACGGUAGGCAGCGGUGGGGAAUAUUACACAACGAGCGGGAGCCUGAUGCAGCAGCGCCGCGUGCGGAAAGACGGCCUUCGGGGUAUGAACCGCUUUCGCCUGUGACGAAGCGUGAGUGACGGUACCGAAUGAAGAAGCACCGGCUAACUACGUG
rnacentral:rRNA from 1 species